rnacentral:rRNA from 1 species
AUUGAACGCUGGCGGAAUGCUUUACACAUGCAAGUCGAACGGCAGCACGGACUUCGGUCUGGUGGCGAGUGGCGAACGGGUGAGUAACAUAUCGGAACGUAUCCAAUAAUGGGGGAUAACUAAUCGAAAGGUUGGCUAAUACCGCAUACGCCCUAUGGGGGAAAGCUAGGGACCUUCGGGCCUGGCGUUAAUGGAGCGGCCGAUAUCUGAUUAGCUAGUUGGUGGGGUAAAGGCCCACCAAGGCGACGAUCAGUAGCUGGUCUGAGAGGACGACCAGCCACACUGGAACUGAGACACGGUCCAGACUCCUACGGGAGGCAGCAGUGGGGAAUUUUGGACAAUGGGCGCAAGCCUGAUCCAGCCAUUCCGCGUGAGUGAAGAAGGCCUUCGGGUUGUAAAGCUCUUUCGCAAGGGAAGAAAACUUAGCCACUAACAUUGGCUGAGGUUGACGGUACCUUGAUAAGAAGCACCGGCUAACUACGUGCCAGCCGCCGCGGUAA